GACGAACGCUGGCGGCGUGCUUAACACAUGCAAGUCGAGCGGAAAGGCCCUUUCGGGGGUACUCGAGCGGCGAACGGGUGAGUAACACGUGAGUAAUCUGCCCUUGGCUUUGGGAUAACUACCGGAAACGGUGGCUAAUACCGGAUAUGACCAUGCUCGGCAUCGGGUGUGGUGGAAAGUUUUUUUCGGCCAGGGAUGUGCUCGCGGCCUAUCAGCUUGUUGGUGGGGUAAUGGCCUACCAAGGCUUCGACGGGUAGCCGGCCUGAGAGGGUGACCGGCCACACUGGGACUGAGACACGGCCCAGACUCCUACGGGAGGCAGCAGUGGGGAAUAUUGGACAAUGGGCGAAGCCUGAUCCAGCAACGCCGCGUGAGGGAUG
rnacentral:rRNA from 1 species